rnacentral:rRNA from 1 species
CCUACGGGUGGCAGCAGUGGGGAAUAUUGGACAAUGGGGGCAACCCUGAUCCAGCAAUGCCGCGUGUGUGAAGAAGGCCUGCGGGUUGUAAAGCACUUUCAGUAGGGAAGAAAAGCUCGGAGUUAAUACCUCCGGGUCUUGACGUUACCUAAAGAAGAAGCACCGGCUAACUCCGUGCCAGCAGCCGCGGUAAUACGGAGGGUGCAAGCGUUGAUCGGAGUUACUGGGCGUGAUCCGCACGGUCGGAGGUGAAAGCCCUGGGCUUAACCUGGGAACUGCAUUCGAUACUGUCUGGCUAGAGUAUGGGAGAGGGAAGCGGAAUUUCCGGUGUAGCGGUGAAAUGCGUAGAUAUCGGAAGGAACAUCAAUGGCGAAGGCAGCUUCCUGGCCCAAUACUGACGCUCAGGUGCGAAAGCGUGGGGAUCAAACAGGAUUAGAUACCCUAGUAGUC